rnacentral:rRNA from 1 species
GACGAACGCUGGCGGCGUGCUUAACACAUGCAAGACGAACGGUAAGGCCCUUCGGGGUACACGAGUGGCGAACGGGUGAGUAACACGUGGGUGAUCUGCCCUGCACUUCGGGAUAAGCCUGGGAAACUGGGUCUAAUACCGGAUAGGACUCCUGGCUUCAUGGUUGGGGGUGGAAAGCUUUUGCGGUGUGGGAUGGGCCCGCGGCCUAUCAGCUUGUUGGUGGGGUAAUGGCCUACCAAGGCGACGACGGGUAGCCGGCCUGAGAGGGCGACCGGUCACACUGGGACUGAGCUACGGCCCAGACUCCUACGGGAGGCAGCAGUGGGGAAUAUUGCACAAUGGGCGCAAGCCUGAUGCAGCGACGCCGCGUGAGGGAUGACGGCCUUCGGGUUGUAAACCUCUUUCAGCUAUGACGAAGCGCAAGUGACGGUAGUAGCAGAAGAAGGACCGGCCAACUACGUGCCAGCCGCCGCCGUAA